AUAUAUUUUUCCAAAAAAAAAAAAAAAAAAAAUGUUCUUAUCAGUUUAAUAUCUGAUACGUCCCCUAUCUGGGGACCAUAUAUUAAAUUGAUUUUUGGAAGAGGGAGAUGGAAUAGGGGCUUGCUCCGUCCACUCCACGCAUCGACCUGGUAUUGCAGUACCUCCAGGAACGGUGCACCCCUG